rnacentral:rRNA from 1 species
UGCGUAGGCGGGCUAAUAAGUCAGUGGUGAAAUCUCUCGGCUCAACCGGGAAACUGCCAUUGAUACUGUUAGUCUUGAGUUCGGUUGAGGUAGGCGGAAUGUGUAAUGUAGCGGUGAAAUGCUUAGAUAUUACACAGAACACCAAUUGCGUAGGCAGCUUACUAGACCGACACUGACGCUGAGGCACGAAAGCGUGGGGAGCGAACAGGAUUAGGUACCCUGGUAGUCC